AUCGCUUCUCGGCCUUUUGGCUAAGAUCAAGUGUAGUAUCUGUUCUUAUCAGCUUUAUAGGGAGCAGCUACGUUUUUUGAAUUUUCUACAUUCAAAUGUCCUCACUACAAAUAUAUAAAUAUGAGAAGUGAGGCACAUGGUAUUUAACUUGAAUUAAUCAUUCCACAUGUCAUAAAAUAU
ensembl:snRNA LOC120095787 U2 spliceosomal RNA